GACAAACGCUGGCGGUAUGCCUAACACAUGCAAGUCGAACGGACAGAACAGGGAAGCUUUUCGGAGUGGAACUGGAAAGUUAGUGGCGGAUGGGUGAGUAACGCGUGGACAACCUACCUUGUAAAGGGGAAUAACCUCGAGAAAUCGAAGCUAAUACCCCAUAAUAACCUUGCUUCGCAUGAAGUAAGGAGGAAAGGCGGCCUUAGCGCUGUCGAUACAAGAUGGGUCCGCGUCUGAUUAGCUAGUUGGUGAGGUAAAGGCUCACCAAGGCGACGAUCAGUAGCCGGCCUGAGAGGGUGAACGGCCACAUUGGGACUGAGACACGGCCCAAACUCCUACGGGAGGCAGCAGUGGGGAAUCUUCCGCAAUGGGCGAAAGCCUGACGGAGCAAUGCCGCGUGAGUGAAGAAGGCCUUCGGGUUGUAAAACUCUGUCCUUAUCGAAGAGAGAGUGUUGUAGUAACUGACAAUACUAGGACGGUAGAUGAGGAGGAAGCCUCGGCUAACUAUGUG
rnacentral:rRNA from 1 species